rnacentral:rRNA from 1 species
GACGAACGCUGGCGGCGUGCCUAAUACAUGCAAGUCGAACGCAGUGGGGACGGGUGAGUAACCCGUGGGUAACCUCCCAUCAGAGGGGAUACCACUUGGAAACCGGUGCUAAACCGAUACUGUUGGCUGGACCCGCGGUGCAUUAGCUAGGUGGUGGGGUAACGGCUCACCAAGGCCACGAUUCAUAGCCGGUCUGAGAGGAGGAUCGGCCACACUGGAAAUGAGACACGGCCCAUACUCCUACGGGAGGCAGCAGUGGGGAAUAUUUCGCAAUGGACGAAAGCCUGACCGAGCCAUGCCGCGUGAGUGAAGAAGGUCUUCGGAUUGUAAAGCACUGUUGGUGGGGAAGCGUUAUCUAACCAGAAAGCAACGGCUAACUACGUGCCAGCAGCCGCGGUAAUAC